UUACGGCCACACCACGUUGAAGCCCAGGUUCCCGUACGAUCACCGAAGUUAAACAACAUGGAGCCUGGUCAGUACUUAGACGGGUGACUACUUGGGAAUACCAGGUGCUGUAA